rnacentral:rRNA from 1 species
AUUGAACGCUGGCGGCAUGCCUUACACAUGCAAGUCGAACGGCAGCACGGGAGCAAUCCUGGUGGCGAGUGGCGAACGGGUGAGUAAUACAUCGGAACGUGCCAGUAGUGGGGGAUAGCCCGGCGAAAGCCGGAUUAAUACCGCAUACGACCUAUGGGUGAAAGCGGGGGAUCGCAAGACCUCGCGCUAUUGGAGCGGCCGAUGUCGGAUUAGCUAGUUGGUGGGGUAAAGGCUUACCAAGGCUACGAUCCGUAGCUGGUCUGAGAGGACGACCAGCCACACUGGGACUGAGACACGGCCCAGACUCCUACGGGAGGCAGCAGUGGGGAAUUUUGGACAAUGGGCGCAAGCCUGAUCCAGCCAUGCCGCGUGCGGGAAGAAGGCCUUCGGGUUGUAAACCGCUUUUGUCAGGGAAGAAACGGUCUGUGUUAAUACCUCGGACUAAUGACGGUACCUGAAGAAUAAGCACUGGCUAACUACGUGCCAGCCGCCGCCGUAAUAC